rnacentral:siRNA from 1 species
UCAAGCGAGCCUAUUUCCCUUCUC